UGAGCUCUUGUGCCUUAGAACCAGUGUGGCUGGACACAAGAAGCUCUGGAUCACGGCCUAACAGGUGCAGCAACUCUUCACAGCUUUGCGCACACUUCACACUUCAGCUUCACCUCUUCAUGGAACCGGUUUGAAGUCUCCCCCUCUCAACUGACUUCACAGCCUCUUUAGAGAAGCUAAGAGAUGACCCGGAACAUCUUUAGUGAGGCUCAAGCAAUGGUACCUGAUACAUUAUCCCAAAGGUGCAUCAGUACCUAUCAACACCAACAAAAUGAAUAUCCUGCAUCCCAAUUGAUGUACACAAUCUCACAGUUCAAUCAUAAACAUUUUCAGUAUCUUUUCAAACACAAGCAAUGACUAAGAUGAAUGAAAAAGGAUUGAAAAGAGUUUUUAAAAGUCUAAAGGAACUUCCCUUGUGUUUUUGUGAGUUUCCUAACUCGGUCAAUGCACCAUCUUCAUGGCAUCAUCAACUUCUUGGAAAGGCAGAAUGGAUUCAUCAGCUUCUCCUCAAUCACCUCUCAUUGAAGCCGCAUUGAUGGAGAGCCUUCUUCCUCACUUGCCAAGACUGCUCUGAACAGCCUCUUGCCUAGACACGCCACUGACUUGGUCCGGUUGAUGAUCCUUGUAGAAGUCUUUGCAAAGACUUGUUACUGACCAUGGAUCAUAUGCAUUAAGACUCCCCCUCAAGCUUAGAACCAAGACUAGAAGGAGCUAAGCUUGUGAUGAUCCUAUGCAUCUCCAUGGUCUAAUAACUUUCAUCUUUUAUGAUAGCUUUCUUCUUGUGAGUUUUCUCUCUUCCUUAACCAGAAAUUAGGGUGUUUGAAUCACCAUAGAGAGUCUCACAAGACAAAUCUCUCAUUGCAUAAUGACCCAUGCUACACUUCCUGUAGACUAAGGACUAGAUAUGUCCAAUGGUAUUAUGCAAUGGCCAUCUCUCAUUGCAUAAUCAAUCACACUACACUUCCUGUAGAUUAUGGACUAACAUGUCCAAGUGAUGAUAUGUAAUGGCACAAGACCUUUGUCUCUACAUUCUUGGUUGAUGGCGAGUUACAUGUAUCACUUCCCUUGUGUACCUAACACCACCACAACUCAAUGCAAGAUCAGAUCAUCCCAUUGGGAUCAAACCAAGAUCAUCCAUCCUGUUUGAUCACCAAUGCCACAAUAAUAUAUGAUACUUGAAACAAGCUAGACAAUCAAGACAAUCAAGCAAAGACAAUCAAUUCAGUUUUUUUUAAAAUGCAACAAUAGAUGAAUGCAUUAGGUUACACUAACUAUAUGAAUGAAACAGAUUCAAUCCAAAUGGAACACAAGUCUAGAUGAUAUUUAUGCAAUUAAGGCGACAAGAGUGACUCAGUUCAUGCUUAUGCUCACUAGUUUUAUCAAAGCCAAUGAUUCAAGUAGCUUAGACAUACUUCUAAAUGCUUAUAAGACAUCACUGAUGGAUUUAACUAUGGCAUAGCAACAAUCAGAACUGGACUGAGUCAAGACAAGCAGAUUUCAAUUUCUAACAAUGACAAUGCAAGUUCUAUACAGUUCUCUAAAUGCAAAGCUUAUAUCAGUACAAUUGCAAUUUAGGCUCAUUUUUAAAUGCAUUACUACAUGAAUGCACAAUCUUAAAGCAUUAGCUAUAUGAAUGCAACAGGUUCAAUCCAUGAGUAAUAUUAAAGCUCUGCACAACAGUUUCAAUCAGAACCAAUGAUGCAAGCAACUUAGACAAUUUCUAAUUGAUGCAAGACUUUCAUUGAUGGAUUAAACAUAGGCAAUAGCAUCAGAUAACACUAGGAUUGAACUUAGACAGUAUGAGAUAUGCUUAUGUAUGCAAAAUAACUUAUCAAUCAUGAUGCAAGCAGCAGAGACAUUCUACUCAAUUCUACAACACAUUCAUGAUGAUUCAAGCUAUGACAACACUCAAGACAAUGCAAUAAGCAGAACAUGAGAUUCUGGGACUCUAGACAUUACUUACUAUCAAUAAGACAAUGCAGCAGCAAAACAAUCUCAGUGAAAUUAGCCUAGACAUUAUACUUAGAAGCUAUAAACUCUUAAUGGAAUUAGGGAAAGCACAUAGUAUAAUCAGGAGAUAAACCUAUCAAGACAUAUUAAGAUAGAUGAGACUAGGUUUACUCCCUUGUUUAAGGUGAUGAGGAGUGUUCGUUGCCACUUGAAUCCUCACUUCUUCUUCUUCUCUUAUUGCAAUCACCCUUCUGAAUUUGCCACCAUGAUGGAAUGCUUGUGGAUGCUUCAGCUACUUCUUCAAUCACCUCACAAUAGAAGCCGCCUUGAUAGAGUAGCCUUCUUCUUCACACAGCCAAGAGUGCUCUGUCUUAGUUUGAGCAUCCUCUUGAAUAGGCACGCCACUGCCUAGACCCGGUUAGCUUCUUCUUCAGGUACUUGCAAUGUUAAGGAGAAGAACACCAGUGAGUUUUACAACCAUCUGUGCUUCUCCCUUUUUGUAACACUUCUCCAUUGUACACACAAUGGGCACCAUUCUUUCUCUCUCAACUCGGAUUUGAUGAUGAACUAGGAACACCUUUUGUGAACCUGAAACAUCACUCAAACUCUAGCAAAGAUAAGUCACAAUUGCAUUGGGAUCAAUCCUUGACUUCAUCAAGUUUGAUCACCAAGGUCUCAAGCUUUAUAACAUUAGAUAGAAUCAAGACAAUGUCAAGUUCUUAUCUAUGCAAGCAACCAUUCUCUAAAUACUAAGCAAGACCUUAUCAGAUUCAAGUCAAAGUAUUUAGGCAAUUUUAUGCAACUUAGAUUUUAAUCUAAAUGCAACAAUACAAAGCAGUAUGCAUUAAUCUUAAUCAGUUUCUAACUCAUGAAAGCAAGCAUGAUUAGAUAAUAUAAUCUAUCAUCUUAACAAGACAAGUUAAUUUAGAACUGACAUUAAGCAUUUAACCAUUUUCAAUAGUAUUGAUGUCAAAUCUUGAUUAAUAAAUUAUCAAGUUUGAUUCCCAAUAUCACAAGCAAUGCAACAGAUAGACACAAGGCAUUAUCAAGUUCUAUUCUUUGCAAGCUAAAUCUCUAAGUACAAGUAAAAUCCUAACAGAUUCAAGACAAGUUACUUAGGCACUCUUAAGAGCUUCUUUACUCAGUACUUAGACAUGAAUCUAAUACUUCAAUGUAAGACAGCCACAAGACUAUAUGCAACAGCUUUAAAUUCGGUUUCACUCCAUGUAUGCAAGCAGAUUUAAUUAAUCACAACAAGCAUCACUAUGAACCGGAGCUAAGCAUACUAAACAAUUUCAAUACCCAAACAAGACUCUUAAAGUAUCCUGGGACAGAUUCUAAAGCAACUUCAUUUUAGCAAUCUUUUAAACAAUCCUCAGGUUUCCAAUCACAUCACAACAUCACAACCUGUUCAUACACUCAAGCUUUAUACAAGAGAAAGAGAUUUCCUUACAGCCAAGGAACUAGUGUUAGUUCCUUGAAGCUCCUUAGUACAUGGGAAGAUCCGAGCUGUUGGUGUCAACUCCUACAUCUCCUUCUUUCAUGGACCUUUCUCUUGAACCCACCAUGCCUAAGACACCUCCUCUCUUCAUUUUUGAGUCGCCAUACCAGGUACAAGUUGAAAGCUUUCACCUUUCUUCUUGGACAGUGAAUGGGAAUGGCUUGGACAUGCUUCCAAUGGCCUUCUUUCUUCAGGACGACCAUGAGAGAGUGGAGAACGACCAAGAACAGCUUCUGGACGCCAUUGAUGAGCACACCUUCUUCUUGAAGAGGUUGAACAGCCAAAUGACCAUGAAGCUUCUUCUUGGUUUGGAAAUGGCAUGGGAGUGAGCUUUGAGCUUAGCGGAAGCUGGAACCAAGUUCUAAUGAACCUGGCUCUGAUACCAUAUGAGAUUUAAGAGUACUCAGGUUGUAUGUGUGUAUGAAACCCAAAUGGGUAAAGAGAGAGAGCUUGGAAGCGAUUUGAGAGAAAGGAAGUUUGAUGAGUGUUUGUGUGUCUAAGUGUUUAAGAGAUUAGUAACAAGACUGAGAACGUGUAUAGAGAUUCAGGAUGAGAGACUAGAGAGACUAAGAAAGUGUUUCAGAUUAGAGAAGGAGAAGGGAAACCCCCUUACUCACUUAAGUGUUUACAAUCACAUAUACAAGGCUUUUAUAUGCCUUUACAUUACACUCAUAAACCCUACAUCCUAAGGUUGUAAAUAAAUGAUAGAAUGGAUGGCUAGGAUGAGAGUAGACUGGUCUUGAUGCUAGCUGGAAAGUGUGGUCGUGCCUUGACUGAAUGGAAGGUGGGAUUGAUCCAUUUUGAAUGAAAGGCUAAGAUGGACUCAUGUGGAAAGGUGGCUGGAAAGGUAAAGUGCUUUUCUCUUUCCAGCCUGUCUCUUGGAUCACUCUGAUCCUAAGGGAUAUUCCCUUUGUUUCCUGUAGCUCCCAACGGUCCUCAUAGCCAAGAUAAACACGCCCAGACUUUGCACUUCUUCAACAUUGCUUAAACCGGAUGUGUGGGUGAGAUGAUUAGCAGUACGGUCGAUGGUACGGACCUCCUGUCCGUACCACUCGCCCUAUAUUUGCCCAACUCUCUUUCCCACUUCUUUGGUCGAUCCACCAUCUUCUUUGGUUCGCCCUUGGCCGUACCAGGCCGUACAAGGCCGCCCUAUAAUUGCACCUUGGACCAUCUUCUCUCUAACUCCUCCAAAGCCUUCACAUGAUCAGUCUAAGUCUUCCCUAGACUUAACUUCCCAAGAUAACUACUUCAGAACACUUCUGAAGCUUGAUUGAACUCUUCUUGACAUCUUCUAGAGCUUUUCCUAUUAUUGUACAAGCUCCAUCUUCUCUUCAGUUCAACACUCCCCCUCAAGCUUGACUUUAGGAGAUCCUAAGCCAAGCUUGGAACUCUGAAGAGUCUCCCUCAUUAAAAACCUUACAAGGAAAACCCAUUGGGACAAAACCUUGCAAGGGAAAAAGAGUAGAGCUCUCCAAAGCCUAGGGAUUGGCCAGUGAGCUCUUGUGCCUUAGAACCAAUGUGGUUGGACACAAGACGCUCUGGAUCACGGCCUAACAGGUGCAGCAACUCUUCACAGCUUUGCGCACACUUCACACUUCACACUUCAGCUUCACCUCUUCAUGGAACCAGUUUGAAGUCUCCCCCUCUCAACUGACUUCACAGCCAUCUUAGAGAAGCUAGGACACGACCAGAUCAUCUUCAAAACACCAGUAAGGCUGAUCAACACUUCACACACGGCUUGCCCUCUUCAUAGAACUGGUU
rnacentral:lncRNA from 1 species